rnacentral:rRNA from 1 species
GAUGAACGCUAGCGGGAGGCUUAACACAUGCAAGUCGAGGGGUAUUGUAGCAAUACAUAGACCGGCGCACGGGUGAGUAACGCGUAUGCAACCUGCCGUUAACCGGGGGAUAGCCCGUCGAAAGGCGGAUUAAUACCCCAUAAUAUUGGGAUUCUGCAUGGGAUUUCAAUUAAAGCUGAGGUGGUUAACGAUGGGCAUGCGUGACAUUAGCUAGUUGGUAGGGUAACGGCCUACCAAGGCUACGAUGUCUAGGGGUUCUGAGAGGAAGGUCCCCCACACUGGUACUGAGACACGGACCAGACUCCUACGGGAGGCAGCAGUGAGGAAUAUUGGUCAAUGGGCGAGAGCCUGAACCAGCCAUCCCGCGUGCAGGAAGACGGCCCUAUGGGUUGUAAACUGCUUUUGCGCAUGAAGAAUGUUACCGACGUGUCGGUAAGUGACGGUAAUGCGUGAAUAAGCAUCGGCUAACUCCGUGCCAGCCGCCGCAGUAACAC